CAGGGAAGUACUUCAAAAUGGUCGAGUAUGGCAAUGUGGAAGUUAUCAGUGAAAGUAAACUCCUUCGUUCUUUUCGACUUGAUAAUCUUGAAUGCUCCUG
rnacentral:miRNA from 1 species